AUACGGAGGUUGCAAGCGUUACUCGGAAUCACUGGGCGUAAAGCGCGCGCAGGCGGCUUGAUAAGUUGGAUGUGAAAGCCUACGGCUCAACCGUAGAACUGCAUCCAAAACUAUUUAGCUAGAGUGUGGGAGAGGAAGAUGGAAUUAGUUGUGUAGGGGUAAAAUCCGUAGAGAUAACUAGGAAUACCAAAAGCGAAGGCAAUCUUCUGGAACACUACUGACGCUGAGGCGCGAAGGCGUGGGGAGCAAACGGGAUUAGAAACCCCAGUAGUCC
rnacentral:rRNA from 1 species